CCGUAAACGAUGAUAACUAGCUGUCCGGGCACUUGGUGUCUGGGUGGCGCAGCUAACGCAUUAAGUUAUCCGCCUGGGGAGUACGGUCGCAAGAUUAAAACUCAAAGGAAUUGACGGGGGCCUGCACAAGCGGUGGGGCAUGUGGUUUAAUUCGAAGCAACGCGCAGAACCUUACCAGCGUUUGACAUCCCGCGCUACUUCCAGAGAUGGAAGGUUCCCUUCGGGGACGCGGUGACAGGUGCUGCAUGGCUGUCGUCAGCUCGUGUCGUGAGAUGUUGGGUUAAGUCCCGCAACGAGCGCAACCCUCGUCCUUAGUUGCCAUCAUUCAGUUGGGCACUCUAAGGAAACCGCCGGUGAUAAGCCGGAGGAAGGUGGGGAUGACGUCAAGUCCUCAUGGCCCUUACACGCUGGGCUACACACGUGCUACAAUGGCGGUGACAGUGGGCAGCAAGCACGCGAGUGUGAGCUAAUCUCCAAAAGCCGUCUCAGUUCGGAUUGUUCUCUGCAACUCGAGAGCAUGAAGGCGGAAUCGCUAGUAAUCGCGGAUCAGCAUGCCGCGGUGAAUACGUUCCCAGGCCUUGUACACACCGCCCAAGCUUC
rnacentral:rRNA from 1 species